rnacentral:rRNA from 1 species
AGCAGCCGCGGUAAUUCCAGCUCCAAUAGCGUAUAUUAAAGUUGUUGCAGUUAAAAAGCUCGUAGUUGAAUUUCGGGAUCAAUUUAUCGGUCGUGCCAAUGGUAUGAACUGGUACAAUUGGUUUCUCCCUUCUGACGAAGCAUGAUGUCAUUAAUUUGGUGUCGUGGGGAAUCAGGACUGUUACUUUGAAAAAAUUAGAGUGUUUAAAGCAAGCAUUAGCUUGAAUACAUUAGCAUGGAAUAAUGAAAUAGGACGUUUGAUCCUAUUUCGUUGGUUUCUAGGAUCGACGUAAUGAUUAAUAGGGAUAGUUGGGGGCAUUAGUAUUCAAUUGUCAGAGGUGAAAUUCUUGGAUUUAUUGAAGACUAACUACUGUGAAAGCAUUUGCCAAGGAUGUUUUCAUUAAUCAAGAACGAAAGUUAGGGGAUCGAAGACGAUCAGAUACCGUCGUAGUCUUAACCAUAAACUAUGCCGACUAGGGAUCGGAUGAUGUUAAUUUUUUAAUGACUCA